CCUUUCUCUUGCAGACUCUGGCUACCCCUUUUCCCUGAGCUGCACAUGGCCAGGCCAAGAACUGCACAGUUUUAGAGAUUGUAACACAGUAAAAGUUCAAAUGACUGCAUGAUAAUCCACCAAACACAAGAGUUAUGAAGCACAUGAACAGCAUGGUUUGCACCAGAAAGCUAAGGACGGUGGGGCCUUUGUCCACCUGCCCAGUGGCUGAAUCCGAAGACAAUCCAAUCAUGCUCCCCACUUCUACCCACCUCUUUGGGUAGAGGUCUUUGAAGUUAUGUGAUUUUUGUUUUUCAACUAGAGAAGCUCUGUAUUAUUUCCAAAAGCUUCCAAUCCCCAUGAUUCCAGUUCAUGGAAAUCUGGCCACACUGGUUAGGUCGGGACUGCACCGCAUUCUCUCUUGUUGCUGAGACUGGCAGCAGCAGGCCAUGGAGCCCCACUUCCAUCAGAAUGCCUGCAAGCAUGGGCUUCCCACUAUGGUUCUCCCAGUCUUGCCCAAAAGGCUGCCAGGCCUCAGCAUGUCCAGGCCAAGCCGGACACUCGACCCACUCUGGCCAGUGUGACGGAACUUCUCUCAACAGGACCAAGAGGCAGCAUGAGCUACGCCUCCCAAGGACUGCAGCAACCAGGUAGGCUGCCCUGUGAGACCCGGCCUGCUCAGAAUGUGCCUCGAUCAAUGGAGAGGCCCUGCUCCUGAUCACUCUCAAGUAUAAAGCCUUCUUGUCUGGAGUCGGGGGCCCCAGUAAACCUGACCAUUACUCUAGGGCACAGGCAUCCCCUCCACCUACCCCCAACACUCUGGAGGACAAGAACACGAGGAGCAUCACCUGCUGCUGGUUCUGCACCUGCUGCUGGACAAAGUUUAGCUGCAAACCGGGCAUUUGGUCUAGAGAAUACUCACCAUCCUGGGAAGUAAAAGUGCUCAAAACUGUCCUAAAUGCCUCCCAGGCCUAGCCUUGUACCUGCUGGGGAUAAGCUACAAGCGGGGUCUGGCCUGGGUCACCCUUACCCUGCACCUUCUCCAGAAGCAUGCUCCAGUUGUGACCUUUCCUUGGUUUCUGUAGGAUGUGCUACGGACCACGAGAGUUUCAUUCUUUCUUAUUUUAAUGUUAUCAUCUUCAUUUGCAUCUUUCCACUAAAAUUUUCCACAAAUAA